rnacentral:rRNA from 1 species
CGAACUACUGCGAAAGCAUUUGCCAAGAAUGUUUCCAUUAAUCAAGAACGAAAGUUAGAGGUUCGAAGGCGAUCAGAUACCGCCCUAGUUCUAACCAUAAACGAUGCCAGCCAGCGAUCCGGCUGUGUUCCUCAAAUGACACGCCGGGCAGCUUCCGGGAAACCAAAGCUUUUGGGUUCCGGGGGAAGUAUGGUUGCAAAGCUGAAACUUAAAGGAAUUGACGGAGGGGCACCACCAGGCAUGGAGCUUGCGGCUUAAUUUGACUCAACGCGGGGCAACCCACUCGGUCCGGACACAGGAAGGAUUGACAGAUUAAGAGCUCUUUCUUGAUUCUGUGGGUGGUGGUGCAUGGUCGUUCUUAGUUGGUGGAGCGAUUUGUCUGGUUAAUUCCGAUAACGAGCGAGACUCUAGCCUACUAAAUAGACGUUCCGAUCAUCUUCGUCGGACGUUCUUCUUAGAGGGACAAGCGGCGUUUAGCCGCACGAGACAGAGCAAUAACAGGUCUGUGAUGCCCUUAGAUGUCCGGGGCCGCACGCGUGCUACAUUGAAGGAAUCAGCGUGUGCUUUCCCUGUCCGACAGGACUGGGUAACCCGUUGAACCUCCUUCGUGCUGGGGAUAGGGGCUUGUAAUUGUCCCCCUUGAACGAGGAAUGCCCAGUAAGCGCGAGUCAUCAUCUCGCGCUGAUUACGUCCCUGCCCCUUGUACACACCGCCCGUCGCUACUACCGAUGAAUGAUUUAGCGAGGUCUUCGGACUGGCGCUCGGAGCGGCCCUCGGGUCGCGCCGGCGUGCCGGAAAGAUGACCAAACUUGAUCACUUAGAGGAAGUAAAAGUCGUAACAAGGUUUCC